AGUGAACGCUGGCGGCAUGCCUUACACAUGCAAGUCGAACGGCAGCACGGGUGCUUGCACCUGGUGGCGAGUGGCGAACGGGUGAGUAAUACAUCGGAACGUACCUUAUCGUGGGGGAUAACGCAGCGAAAGUUGCGCUAAUACCGCAUACGCCCUGAGGGGGAAAGCGGGGGACCGUAAGGCCUCGCGCGAUUAGAGCGGCCGAUGUCUGAUUAGCUUGUUGGUGAGGUAAAAGCUCACCAAGGCGAUGAUCAGUAGCUGGUCUGAGAGGACGAGCAGCCACACUGGGACUGGGACACGGCCCAGACUCCUACGGGAGGCAGCAGUGGGGAAUUUUGGACAAUGGGGGCAACCCUGAUCCAGCAAUGCCGCGUGAGUGAAGAAGGCCUUCGGGUUGUAAAGCUCUUUUGUCAGGGAAGAAACAGCAGCUCUAACACAGUCUGCGAAUGACGGUACCUGAAGAAUAAGCACCGGCUAACUACGUGCCAGCAGCCGCCGUAA
rnacentral:rRNA from 1 species